GCACCGGUGGUGUAUGGUACACACAAUCACCUUCUAGCCUCUGUCAUUUGUUGGUAGUAAUGGAGUCCGGGGUUUGAUUCCCCGCUGGUGCA